rnacentral:lncRNA from 1 species
AGUUAUUAUCCUGAUUGCGGCAGCGUUUCGAGGUUUGUGUGUGUUUGUGUAGUAAACAGAGCAUAACUCCGUGCCUCAGACGAAUUUCUUUGUCGUUCAAACGCAGAAUUUCAAGUCCCAACCUCUCCUAUUUAUACAUGAAAUUUGACCCUGUCGCGUAGCGCGAGGGGUACCCCCCUGGGCGUCGCGCUACGCGAGGGGUAACCUAUUUUCUAUAGGUAGCCACGUCCCUAACUAGGCUUGCUGAGUUGACGAAAUCGUAAAAUUCAAAACGGCCAGCAAGUUAUUUAGAUAAUUGUAACUAGGGUUUUGCCCCCCCUGAGUUUUAGGGGCCCUGAUCCUGAUUCUGAUUGUUCUGGAAAUUUUAGGAGUUGUGCAGGAUUACUUGGGUGUCCCAACUAUGGUUCCCUAUUGGGUAAAUAAAAUAAUAGGUAUGACUUUUGAUGAAAGUUUGUUUACAAAAUAGAAAUAAUAAAUAAUAAAUAAUAGUUUUGGUAACUUACAAAAAAAGAAUAAAAUGGUGAGAAAAAGAAAUGGACCCACUGUGUAACUUUAGGGGUUCAACUAGAAAGAUUCCUGGUAUAAAUUUUGGGUAUAACUUUUGAGCUAUAUAAAAAUAUAAUGCACUCGUGUUAAGUAUAGUACCUCUAAAUCAACCUUGUCCCGAAGUCCCGAGAUAAAAUCCAAACGAACUUAGUCGGGCAGAGCCUUGACAUGCGUUAUGGGACUCAGAUCAAUCGGAAAGGGUAGCGGUGAUUGGGAGUUACAAUACUUAAAACGAAGCAGGGUUUUAUU